UGUCUAGGGGCUCAAACCUAAAGAACCCAAAUAUCUAAACGGAGAAAUUCAAUACUACCGUUAAACGUAGUGUGCACUUUUCUCUUAGUAAGACGCCGUGAUCCAUUAGAAAUUGAUACAUACAAAAUGUAUAUUGGGUCAUCAAUAGGCUAGUAUGAAGUUUAUUGGAACAAAUGGCAUGGUCUUUUACGGCCGUGUGUAUUGUCUGGUAAGCAUAUUAUGUCCUGUAAUGACUGUCUGAUGGAUUUUAAAGAUGAUAUUAUUGAUAUUACGGUAUCACUUGUAAUGAGAAUUGAUAUCUAUCUGAUCAACGGCGGUUAAAUUUGGGAUACCUUUUGGACCCGUCUUGAAACACGGACCAAGGAGUCUAUCUAGUAUGCGAGUAAAUGGAUAAUUAAUGAAAUCUAUUUGCAUAAUAAACUUGACUGUUUUUAUGGGAUUACGAGAAUGAAUACUAUGUGUUUAUCUCUUCCAUCCCGGGGUAUUUUCAUCAACAUAUGCUUGCAUAUGGAAAAUAUACCAUGAGCACACUGGAUACGACCCGAAAGAUGGUGAACUAUGCCUGAUCAGGUCGAAGUCAGGGGAAACCCUGAUGGAGGACCGAAGCAGUUCUGACGUGCAAAUCGAUUGUCAGAAUUGGGCAUAGGGGCGAAAGACCAAUCGAACCAUC
rnacentral:rRNA from 1 species